rnacentral:lncRNA from 1 species
UCGUCAAAAUCUAAUCAAACCUUAAUCAAACCUUAGUCAAAAUUUAGUCAAACCUUGAUCAAAUCCUCAUCAAAUCAUAGUCAAAGCCUAAAUAAUUCUUAAUCAAAUUCUAGACAAAUCUUGAUCAAAUUCCAAUAAAAUUCUAAUCAAAUCCUAAUCAAAUUCUAAUCAAAGCUUAAAAAAACUCCGAUAAAAUCUUUAAAAAAUCCUAAUCAAAUCCUAAAUAAAUUCUAAGAAAAUCAUAAACAAAUCCUAACUAAAUACUAAUCAAAUCUUAAUCAAAUUCUAAAUAAAUCAUAAUCAAAUUCUAAAUAAAUCCUAAAUAAGUCCUAACCUAAACCAAACUAUAACACUAAUCAAAUCUUAAAUCAAAUCCUAAGUCCUAAUCCUAAAUUUAACCAAAUUGUAAUCCUAAUCA